GUACUUGUGAAGAGUCCCAAACUGGGACGAAACAGUUGUCCAGUAC
rfam:Trichobilharzia regenti genome assembly, scaffold: TRE_scaffold0015039